rnacentral:rRNA from 1 species
UACGUAGGGUGCGAGCGUUAAUCGGAAUUACUGGGCGUAAAGCGUGCGCAGGCGGCUUUGCAAGACAGAUGUGAAAUCCCCGGGCUUAACCCGGGAACUGCAUUUGUGACUGCAUGGCUGGAGUGCGGCAGAGGGGGAUGGAAUUCCGCGUGUAGCAGUGAAAUGCGUAGAUAUGCGGAGGAACACCGAUGGCGAAGGCAAUCCCCUGGGCCUGCACUGACGCUCAUGCACGAAAGCGUGGGGAGCAAACAGG